rnacentral:rRNA from 1 species
CCCUUAGAUGUUCUGGGCCGCACGCGCGCUACACUGAUUCAUGCAACAAGUUUUGUCCUUGGCUGAUAGGCCUGGGUAAUCUUUGAACGUGAAUCGUGAUGGGGAUAGAUGAUUGCAAUUAUUCAUCUUCAACGAGGAAUUCCUAGUAAACGCAAGUCAUCAGCUUGCAUUGAUUACGUCCCUGCCCUUUGUACACACCGCCCGUCGCACCUACCGAUUGAAUGGUCCGGUGAAAUCUUCGGAUCUGAGAGAUGUCUGAUUAAUUUCGGACGCCUUUUGGAAAAGUUGCUUAAACCUUNCNAUUUAUNGGAAGGUGAANUCGUANCA